CACGUAGGGGGCAAGCGUUGUCCGGAUUUAUUGGGCGUAAAGAGCUCGUAGGCGGUUCGGUAAGUCGGGUGUGAAACCUCCAGGCUCAACCUGGAGACGCCACCUGAUACUGCUGUGACUCGAGUCCGGUAGGGGAGCGUGGAAUUCCUGGUGUAGCGGUGAAAUGCGCAGAUAUCAGGAGGAACACCGGUGGCGAAGGCGGGUCUCUGGGCCGAUACUGACGCUGAGGAGCGAAAGCGUGGGGAGCGAACAGG
rnacentral:rRNA from 1 species